rnacentral:rRNA from 1 species
AUUGAACGCUGGCGGCAGGCCUAACACAUGCAAGUCGAACGCGUGGCGGACGGGUGUGUAAUGUCUGGGAAACUGCCCGAUGGAGGGGGAUAACUACUGGAAACGGUAUCUAAUACCCCAUACCAUCUUCUGUGCCCAGAUGGGAUUAGCUCGUAGGUGGGGUAACGGCUCACCUAGGCGACGCUCCCUAGCUGGUCUGAGAGGAUGACCAGCCACACUGGAACUGAGACACGGUCCAGACUCCUACGGGAGGCAGCAGUGGGGAAUAUUGCACAAUGGGCGCAAGCCUGAUGCAGCCAUGCCGCGUGUAUGAAGAAGGCCUUCGGGUUGUAAAGUACUUUCAGCGAGGAGGCGUUACUCGCAGAAGAAGCACCGGCUAACUCCGUGCCAGCAGCCGCGGUAAUAC